rnacentral:rRNA from 1 species
UACGUAGGGCGCGAGCGUUGUCCGGAUUUAUUGGGCGUAAAGAGCUCGUAGGCGGCUCGUUGCGUCGGCUGUGAAAACCCGCAGCUCAACUGUGGGCUUGCAGCUGAUACGGGCGGGCUGGGAUUCGGUAGGGGAGACUGGAAUUCCUGGUGUAGCGGUGAAAUGCGCAGAUAUCAGGAGGAACACCGGUGGCGAAGGCGGGUCUCUGGGCCGAUAUCGACGCUGAGGAGCGAAAGCGUGGGGGAGCGAACAGG